UGGGGAAUAUUGCACAAUGGGGGAAACCCUGAUGCAGCAACGCCGCGUGAGUGAUGACGGCCUUCGGGUUGUAAAGCUCUGUCUUCAGGGACGAUAAUGACGGUACCUGNNGAGGAAGCCACGGCUAACUACGU
rnacentral:rRNA from 1 species